GUUGUCGUCAGCUCGUGUCGUGAGAUGUUGGGUUAAGUCCCGCAACGAGCGCAACCCUUAAGCUUAGUUGCCAUCAUUAAGUUGGGCACUCUAAGUUGACUGCCGGUGACAAACCGGAGGAAGGUGGGGAUGACGUCAAAUCAUCAUGCCCCUUAUGAUUUGGGCUACACACGUGCUACAAUGGACAAUACAAAGGGCAGCGAAACCGCGAGGUCAAGCAAAUCCCAUAAAGUUGUUCUCAGUUCGGAUUGUAGUCUGCAACUCGACUACAUGAAGCUGGAAUCGCUAGUAAUCGUAGAUCAGCAUGCUACGGUGAAUACGUUCCCGGGUCUUGUACACACCGCCCGUCACACCACGAGAGUUUGUAACACCCGAAGCC
rnacentral:rRNA from 1 species